rnacentral:miRNA from 1 species
UGAGCCAAGGAUGGCUUGCCG